rnacentral:rRNA from 1 species
AGCGACCCCAGGUCAGGUGCGACUACCCGUUGAGUUUAA